ACUACAAUUUUCAAAUCCGGAACACUGUUUAGAGUUUUAUUGAACAUAUUAUUACCUAUAGUAAUUAGUUAAGCUAUACUAUGUGUGGCAAUGGUUGUAAUUUCCUGAGUUGUUUUUCAUCUUGUUUCCGAAUAGUUUUUAGUUUGUUUUGAUAAAUACAAAUAUUUUCCUAAUCUAACCAAACCUUAACUAUUUUAUUAUUUUUUUAGCCCUAUGUUCCAGAAAAAUGUUUUAGUUUUUCAUAGCAUUCGGUGCAUUUGAGUAUAGUGGAUUGGGGCUUAACAUAUUAUAUCUUUUUAUUUGAAUGAGUUAUGGAGUUAAUAAUUUAUACAUUGUCACUAGCAGAAAAAGGUGUACCUACAUCUGCACUAUAAAAUAUAUCAUAUACUAUCAAAUUUUCUUAUUAUUGACUUAAGUUAUUACAUAUUUUUUUUUGCAGAAGGUGGUAAGUAUAAAAUGUCAUGUAUAUCACAAUUGUUUUAAAUUCCGCGUCUUUUUGAAAGACCAGAUGACAUUAACUAAAAAGCAGAUAUACGUGUGGCACUGGUGGUGGCGAAUUUUUGUACCCUGUAGUGGAGAAUGGAGGGAAAAGAGCGAACGGAUUGCGCGAUUUUUGUAUUUAACGUAAAUGAGGGCCAAUUAAAAAAUUCGAUGGACGGUUUCCCGCGGGUCUCUGAUUUAUAAGUUUGAAGACAAUAGAAAAUAUUAUCAGAAAAAAAAAUAAGGUGUAUUAACGAAGAACUUUGUAUUUAUAUUUACAAAUAGAGACUACAAGUUUGAAGAAUAAAGAAAAUCAAGAGGAAAAAAAAGAAGGUGGUAAGUAUAAAAUGUUAUGUAUAUCACAACUGUUUUAAAUUCCGCGUUAAAUUCAAACUGUUACUGUUGUUGAUGUAAAGUAUAGAAAAAACCAUUGUAAUAUUUUUAUAAAAACUACAAAAAAUUAAAAUAAUGUAAAUAAUACGUUUUGCAGAUAAUCAAAACAUAAAAUCUUUGAAAAAAUAAUCAAAUUAUUUUUUAUUUUUCAAACAGUUUCCUUUUCUAAAAAUAAAUAUUUAAUUUUUAUAAGUUACCCAUAAGUCCUUACUUGGCCGGUUCGUUUGUAACAGAAAAUCACUAUUUCUGAAAAAAGCAGUUUUUAGAAUUAACACGUUUUGCAUAGAAACACGUCUUUUACUCCCGGUAGUCGGCGAGGCGACGUUUAGUACGGCCAGCGAUAAAUGAGCUGCGAUUGUAGUGCCCCAGGUGGCGUUUUUUUCGGAUCUGAACUAUACCUAGGACUUGGUUGUAUCUGUCAAAAUCAGUGAACCGGAUCGAAAACCAGGAUUCGGUGCCGUCUCGUAGCAAUAAGGUCGAGACAACCACAGAACAUCAGCAACAAGGGCUUCCGGAUGAAGAAUUAAUUUCCCGGUACAUUACGAUCAGAUUUGCCGACUAUUAUGUAUUGCAUAAACCCGAACCUUUAUAUUUUAUAUUUUAUUUAUGUCAAAAUACAGUUGAUAAUAGAACUGUCUAAUAAAAUAAUUUAAUUUAUUUUCUAACGGACGUUCCGGCUCGGAUUGGUCCAUUUUCCAUGGACUAAUAAAAUGUAAUUUGCCCUCUUGACGUAUGUCUGCCUGACCUCAUAGCUGUUAUGAUAUUUUAACGCUGAGUCGGCAUCAAGUCGUUUUAUAUAUCUAUGGACUAACAAAUUUUUUUCUUAAAAUAUAGGUUUUUUCAUUAAUUAUGAUAUACAAAUAUGCCUAUAUCUAAUAGUUUAACCUAGUUUACUCAAUUUUUAUUAAUUAAGCAUUUUUAUUUAGGUCCAAAUACUUUAAUUGGAUUUAAAUGGAUAGAGAACACCGAGCUUGCCGCAUGUAAGUUGUUUUAAUUUGUACUAUAUGCAUACUAUAUUAAAUUCAUCAUACAUGUUAUUGGUGUGCAAAUUUUUAAAGUACCUAUAAUGAAUAUUUUGGUUCUUUAAAAAAAGAUUGUUUAUUACUCAUCAAUUAUUACAUUUCGUUAUUUAUCUAAAUUACGUAUUUUUAAUUUAUAGUUGAUUCCAUGAUCUUUUAGUUGAGCAAUAUUAUGAAUACCAGGUAUUCAAUACCUAUUUAUAAAUUCAUAACUACAGUUUUUAUUUUAUUCCAGCCACAAAAAGUACGUAACUAUAUGUUAUUAAAAUAUCGGUAUAAAUUAAUUAUCUGCGAAACAGAUGGGUUUACCACGUUGCAUAAUUUAUAAUUAAAUUUAAUUGAGCAGAUAUAAAUUCUUUUAUGAUCAGUAUAACAGUUGUGGAGUUUAACGUUUGCUUUUUGUUAGUAGUAUAUUAUCAUUAGUGUAGGUAGAUAUACUCUCCACCGAUUACAUGCUUCAUACAUAGUAUGGACCCGCAUAUAUAUAUAUAUAUAUAUCAAUAUAAUUUAGUCAUUAGAUAAAAAUAUUCAAAAUCAACUUGUUGAUGG